rnacentral:rRNA from 1 species
AUUGAACGCUGGCGGAAUGCUUUACACAUGCAAGUCGAACGGUAGAGGGGGCACCCCUUGAGAGUGGCGAACGGGUGAGUAAUAUAUCGGAACGUGCCCAGUCGUGGGGAUAACGUAGCGAAAGUUACGCUAAUACCGCAUACGAUCUACGGAUGAAAGCGGGGGACUCGCAAGAGCCUCGCGCGAUUGGAGCGGCCGAUAUCAGAUUAGGUAGUUGGUGGGGUAAAGGCUCACCAAGCCAACGAUCUGUAGCUGGUCUGAGAGGACGACCAGCCACACUGGAACUGAGACACGGUCCAGACUCCUACGGGAGGCAGCAGUGGGGAAUUUUGGACAAUGGACGCAAGUCUGAUCCAGCCAUUCCGCGUGCAGGAUGAAGGCCCUCGGGUUGUAAACUGCUUUUGUACGGAACGAAAAGGUUUCUAUUAAUACUAGGAGCUCAUGACGGUACCGUAAGAAUAAGCACGGCUAACUACGUGCCAGCAGCCGCGGUAAGUGACUAC